CACAGACGAUUAUACAUUAUACAGUCCAGCAGCCAUAGUGGCCGAAAUGAAAUAAACCUCUGCAUGCCAAAUGCAUGUACGUGUACAUGGCCAAUACUGAUCCAGAUUUCUCAUUACUGUUUUCUGAUGAUCGCUUAGUGCGUGAAACUCGGAGUAACAACACUUUCUCUGUCCUCCUAUUGUUUGAACCAGCUCUACCACUCGGUAUUGAGCACUCUCUUGGACAGCCUGGAACCUCUCUGUUUUGUGUAUAGCCAUGUUUGUAUUUCCGAUGUAGCAGCGACAUUGAAGUGCGCGCAAGGAUUUUCUGACGUGAGGAAGAUGGAUUGACGUUUUGGGAGUGAAUCCAAGAUAACGCAGUUGUUUUCUCUACUGUUUUUCAACUGCUCUGUGAACGGCGUAUAGACUGAAUUACCAAUCCCCGCGCGUAUAAUGGGCAAGGUAUGGAUGGCCCGUAUGUGUUUACUGGUGGGCUGCUUACUCGUCGCUGGAGGCUCCAUCACCUUCCUGUUUUGGAUAAUGAACUGGACAACAGGUGAUGACAGGUUUGCUCUGGGAGGGCUCUUUGUGAUUCUGGGAUUGAUUGUUCUCUUGACUGGUGCCCGAGAACGCACACAACACGAAGGAGACAAGCCUAGAGCUCGCCCAUUAUGGGCAACAGCACGAAUGCGAGCGAAUUUCCUGGAGGACCGAGAUUUCCCUAUAAGCGAAUUCUACAUGUACCACCUGACUGAGGAGCCUGACUACGAUGAUGCGUGCGAUGACGUAUUGGCUCUGUAAAGAGCUGCCGGCCAUCGUAAUGAAUGUGUUUCCCUUAUAGGCCAACAAUGACAAUCUUGCAUGUACAUUGUACAUGUAUAAUGCAUGCCAAUACUAGCUCGAUUGUCAGCGUAGUCACUCCAUACAUUCUGACACAGGGACAGAGACACUGACUUGACUUCUUAUGCAAUUAUGGAUGCAUCAGAGCGUUUCAACCAAAUCCGGCAUUAUAGUUCGUUGCUCCGAAACCACAUGGUUACAAUGUACAUGUAGAUUUAAUUGAACAUCUCACCAUCUUGAUCUACUUGCGUCCUACAAACUGAUUCUGAAAUCGGCCCUUGUCUUUAUCUAUUAUGCCCUUUUGACAUUAUUUUUACUGUACCAAUCUCGAAUUCUGCAUAUUCGCCUACAUGUAGAUAUCAGCAGGCUGAGUUAACUUACAUGUACAUGUAAAUAUAUCAUUUUUCGUUGAUC